rnacentral:tRNA from 2 species
AGAGGAUUAGUCCAACAAAGACUUCUAAUUUCGGCUUAGACAAUUAUGGUGAAACUCCAUAAUCCUCUU